rnacentral:rRNA from 1 species
UACGUAGGGUGCGAGCGUUGUCCGGAAUUAUUGGGCGUAAAGAGCUCGUAGGCGGUGUGUCACGUCGUUCGUGAAAACCUGCAGCUUAACUGUGGGCGUGCGGUCGAUACGGGCAUCACUGGAGUUCGGCAGAGGAGACUGGAAUUCCUGGUGUAGCGGUGAAAUGCGCAGAUAUCAGGAAGAACACCAAUGGCGAAAGCAGCUCUCUGGGACGGUACUGACGCUGAGACGCGAAAGCGUGGGGAGCGAACAGG